CGAGUAAUGGAUACCCGAUUCAUGUUGGAUCGCAGCUGUAUAAG
rnacentral:sRNA from 1 species